rnacentral:lncRNA from 1 species
ACACUCAUGAAGAUCACAUCAUAUCUCUCAAUCCAGAAAUGAAAAAUUAUCAAAUCAUAUACCAAAAUCACCAGGAAUGAGUCUAGAUCAUGCAUAUAAAAUUUCAAGCAUUUUGGAGCAAGCAUCAAGAUUUCAUGAAUGAAAUGGCAAAACAUAUGCAAGAAACAUACAUGAACAAACAUAUUAGGCCAAAAUAAAAA